rnacentral:rRNA from 1 species
AUUGAACGCUGGCGGCAGGCCUAACACUUGCAAGUCGAACGAGUGGCGGACGGGUGAGUAAUGUCUGUGAAACUGCCUGAUGGAGGGGGAUAACUACUGGAAACGGUAGCUAAUACCGCAUACCAUCAGAUGUGCCCAGAUGGGAUUAGCUAUUAGGUGGGGUAACGGCUCACCUAGGCGACGAUCCCCAUCUGGUCUGAGAGGAUGACCAGCCACACUGGAACUGAGACACGGUCCAGACUCCUACGGGAGGCAGCAGUGGGGAAUAUUGCACAAUGGGCGCAAGCCUGAUGCAGCCAUGCCGCGUGUGUGAAGAAGGCAGGCGGGUUGUAAAGCACUUUCAGCGGGGAGGCGUUACCCGCAGAAGAAGCACCGGCUAACUCCGUGCCAGCAGCCGCGGUAAUAC